rnacentral:rRNA from 1 species
GCGUGGGUGAUGAAGGCCUUCGGGUUGUAAAGCCCUUUCGGCGGGGACGAUGAUGACGGUACCCGCAGAAGAAGCCCCGGCUAACUUCGUGCCAGCAGCCGCGGUAAUACGAAGGGGGCUAGCGUUGUUCGGAAUUACUGGGCGUAAAGGGCGCGCAGGCGGCUUGGCAAGUUGGGCGUGAAAGGCCCGGGCUUAACCCGGGAACUGCGCUCGAUACUGCCAGGCUCGAGUGUGGGAGAGGAUGGUGGAAUUCCUAGUGUAGAGGUGAAAUUCGU